rnacentral:rRNA from 1 species
CCGGACUGGGGCAGCACCACCAGGCCGGAAAGCUAUCCAAACUCGGUCAUUUAGAGGAAGUAAAAGUCGUAACAAGGUAUCCGUUGGUGAACCAGCGGAUGGGAUCAUUA